rnacentral:lncRNA from 1 species
AUGCUGUUCUUGCGAUAGUGGGUGAGUUCUCACGAGAUCUAAUGGUUUUAUAAGUGUUUGGCAAGGUCCUGUUUUGAUCAUUUGCUCUCUUGCCUGAGGCCAAGGAAGAUGUGACUCUUCCCCUUUCGCCAUGAUUGUAACUUUCCUGAGGCCUCCCCAGCCAUGCAAAACUAUUGUUCGCUGUUAGUGUAUAGAAACACUACUGACAGGCCAUAAUGAAUAAUGAGAUUGAAGGAGUAAUAAAAGUCUUCCACCAAAGAAAAGCCCAGGACCUAGUGGAAUCACUGCCAACCUUUGCCUAUCAGUAAUACCAGUUUCACUUAAACUAUUUCAAAAAAUUGAAGAGGAGAUAAUACUUCCAAACCUACUCUAUGAGACAUCAGAGCUCCAGGCCUUUGGACUAUGGGACCUACACCAUUGGCUUUCCUGGUUCUCAGGCCUUCAGACUUGGACUGUGUCUCACUUCUGGCUCUUUUGGGUCUCCAGCUUGCAGAUGGCAGAUCAUGGAACUUCCUGGCCUCCAUAAUAAGAAGUUCUUUAAACACAUGGGUCACUUUAGGAUACAGUACAGCUUCAGAGAAGAAGUAAUGUCAAUUUUCACAACUCAAUGCCUUAAGACUUGAUUCACGUUCCUUCAAAAUUGUGAAGUGUGUUGCUGAAUAACAAAAAACAAUUCAAACAGGUAAAGCUAUGUCUUAGU